AUUGAACGCUGGCGGCAGGCCUAACACAUGCAAGUCGAGCGGAGCGGCGGACGGGUGAGUAAUGCCUAGGAAUCUGCCUGGUAGUGGGGGAUAACGUCCGGAAACGGGCGCUAAUACCGCAUACUAUCAGAUGAGCCCAGAUGGGAUUAGCUAGUAGGUGGGGUAACGGCUCACCUAGGCGACGAUCCCUAGCUGGUCUGAGAGGAUGACCAGCCACACUGGAACUGAGACACGGUCCAGACUCCUACGGGAGGCAGCAGUGGGGAAUAUUGCGCAAUGGGGGCAACCCUGACGCAGCCAUGCCGCGUGAGUGAUGACGGCCUUCGGGUUGUAAAGUUCUUUCGGUGACGAGGCGUUAAUCACAGAAGAAGCACCGGCUAACUCCGUGCCAGCAGCCGCGGUAAUAC
rnacentral:rRNA from 1 species